rnacentral:rRNA from 1 species
GAUGAACGCUGGCGGCGUGCCUAAUACAUGCAAGUCGAGCGAACAGAUGAGGAGCUUGCUCCUCUGACGUUAGCGGCGGACGGGUGAGUAACACGUGGAUAACCUACCUAUAAGACUGGGAUAACUUCGGGAAACCGGAGCUAAUACCGGAUAAUAUAGUGAACCGCAUGGUUCAAUAGUGAAAGACGGUUUUGCUGUCACUUAUAGAUGGAUCCGCGCCGCAUUAGCUAGUUGGUAAGGUAACGGCUUACCAAGGCAACGAUGCGUAGCCGACCUGAGAGGCUGAUCGGCCACACUGGAACUGAAACACGGUCCAGACUCCUACGGGAGGCAGCAGUAGGGAAUCUUCCGCAGUGGGCGAAAGCCUGACGGAGCAACGCCGCGUGAGUGAUGAAGGUCUUCGGAUCGUAAAACUCUGUUAUUAGGGAAGAACAAAUGUGUAAGUAACUAUGCACGUCUUGACGGUACCUAAUCAGAAAGCCACGGCUAACUACGUG